rnacentral:rRNA from 1 species
GACGAACGCUGGCGGCGUGCUUAACACAUGCAAGUCGAACGGAAAGGCCCUGCUUUUGUGGGGUGCUCGAGUGGCGAACGGGUGAGUAACACGUGAGUAACCUGCCCUUGACUUUGGGAUAACUUCAGGAAACUGGGGCUAAUACCGGAUAGGAGCUCCUGCUGCAUGGUGGGGGUUGGAAAGUUUCGGCGGUUGGGGAUGGACUCGCGGCUUAUCAGCUUGUUGGUGGGGUAGUGGCUUACCAAGGCUUUGACGGGUAGCCGGCCUGAGAGGGUGACCGGCCACAUGGGGAAUGAAAUAAGGCCCAGACUCCUACGGGAGGCAGCAGGGGGGAAUAGUGCACAAUGGGCGGAAGCCUGAUGCAGCAACGCCGCGUGCGGGAUGACGGCCUUCGGGUUGUAAACCGCUUUCGCCUGUGACGAAGCGUGAGUGACGGUAAUGGGUAAAGAAGCACCGGCUAACUACGUG